UACGUAGGGUGCAAGCGUUGUCCGGAAUUAUUGGGCGUAAAGAGCUCGUAGGCGGUUCGUCGCGUCGGCUGUGAAAACCCGGAGCUCAACUCCGGGCCUGCAGUCGAUACGGGCGGACUUGAGUGUUGCAGGGGAGACUGGAAUUCCUGGUGUAGCGGUGAAAUGCGUAGAUAUCGGGAGGAACACCAGUGGCGAAGGCGAUCUUCUGGACGGAUACUGACGCUGAGGCGCGAAAGCUAGGGGAGCAAACAGG
rnacentral:rRNA from 1 species